rnacentral:rRNA from 1 species
AAGAGAGACAUGCGCGCAUAUCAAUAAGCGGAGGAAAAGAAACUAACAAGGAUUCCCUUAGUAACGGCGAGUGAAGCGGGAAGAGCUCAAAUUUGAAAUCUUCAAGGUUUUACCUUGACGAAUUGUAGUUUAAAGAAGUGUUUUCUGCUGAAGUUUUGGUAAAAGUUCUUUGGAAUAGGGCAUCAUAGAGGGUGAGAAUCCCGUAUUUGACCAUUAUUUUCAGCCUUGUGAUACACUUUCAAAGAGUCGGAUUGUUUGGGAAUGCAGUCCAAAAUGGGUGGUAAAUUUCAUCUAAAGCUAAAUAUUGGCGAGAGACCGAUAGCGAACAAGUACCGUGAGGGAAAGAUGAAAAGAACUUUGAAAAGAGAGUUAAACAGUACGUGAAAUUGUCAAAAGGGAAGCGUUUGACACCAGUGUUGUUUUCUCGAAAAUCAAUUAAAAAUGGCUCGAUUUUGUAUUGUUGAGACCUUAAAAGCUCACUGUACAUUUUUCGCUGUCUUUUUUAAUGCACUUUUCGUUUAACAAGUCAACAUCAGUUUCUUUUGUUGUAAAGAGGGUCAUUGGAAGGUGGCUUUCUUUUCGGAGAAAGUGUUUAUAGCCUUUGGCCUCUGCAAUCGGAGAGACUGAGGUCUGCAGCGUAGACUCUUCGGGGUUAGAUACAUUUGUGCUAAGUUAUAGCUUUUUAUAGACAACUUGUUGACUAUAAUUAGUCUUGUAGCUUACUCGCUUAUGCUAUUUUACCUACGCUUAGGAUGUUGAAGAUGUAGCACAUCAU